rnacentral:rRNA from 1 species
UGGGGAAUCUUCCGCAAUGGACGAAAGUCUGACGGAGCAACGCCGCGUGAGUGAAGAAGGUUUUCGGAUCGUAAAACUCUGUCUUUUGGGGCGAACGUGAGUAUGGUGAACAAUCAUAGUCAGUGACGGUACCAAAGGAGGAAGCCACGGCUAACUACGUGCCAGCAGCCGCGGUAAUACGUAGGUGGCAAGCGUUGUCCGGAAUUAUUGGGCGUAAAGAGCGCGUAGGCGGGAUAGUCAGUCUGUUGUAAAAGUGCGGGGCUCAACCCCGUGAUGGCAAUGGAAACAGCUAUUCUUGAGUGCAGGAGAGGAAAGUGGAAUUCCCAGUGUAGCGGUGAAAUGCGUAGAUAUUGGGAGGAACACCAGUGGCGAAGGCGACUUUCUGGACUGUGUCUGACGCUGAGGCGCGAAAGCCAGGGGAGCGAACGGGAUUAGAUACCCCCGGUAGUCCUGGCCGUAAACGAUGGGUACUAGGUGUGGGAGGUAUCGACCCCCUUCCGUGCCGGAGUUAACGCAAUAAGUACCCCCGCCUGGGGGAGUACGGUCGCAAGACUGAAACUCAAAGGAAUUGACGGGGUCAUAGCUGUUUCCUG